rnacentral:rRNA from 1 species
UCUUAUGUACAUGCCUAUGACAUAGUUUUAAUGCAUCAGAUCCCAUUAGAAAUCCCCAAUUAAGUGCACUGGGGCUAGAGUAGUAUUGAGAUGGGUGACCACUCGAGAAGUCCUAGUAUUUUACAUGCC